UACGAAGGGGGCUAGCGUUGCUCGGAAUCACUGGGCGUAAAGCGCACGUAGGCGGAUCUUUAAGUCAGGGGUGAAAUCCCAAGGCUCAACCUUGGAACUGCCUUCGAUACUGGGGAUCUCGAGUCCGGAAGAGGUGAGUGGAACUGCGAGUGUAGAGGUGAAAUUCGUAGAUAUUCGCAAGAACACCAGUGGCGAAGGCGGCUCACUGGUCCGGUACUGACGCUGAGGUGCGAAAGCGUGGGGAGCAAACAGG
rnacentral:rRNA from 1 species